rnacentral:rRNA from 1 species
UACGAAGGGGGCUAGCGUUGCUCGGAAUUACUGGGCGUAAAGGGCGCGUAGGCGGAUACUUAAGUUAGAGGUGAAAGCCCAGGGCUCAACCCUGGAACAGCCUUUAAUACUGGGUAUCUUGAGUUCGGGAGAGGUGAGUGGAACUCCGAGUGUAGAGGUGAAAUUCGUAGAUAUUCGGAAGAACACCAGUGGCGAAGGCGACUCACUGGACACGUAUUGACGCUGAGGUGCGAAAGCGUGGG